rnacentral:lncRNA from 10 species
GAGCCAGGUGGGGUGGCCUCAGGCCUGUGCUCCUCCCCACCAGCCCCAUGGCCUCCACUGUCAGCCCAGGGCAUGAGCCCAGGGCCCUCCUUGAGCCUCAUCCUUGGUCCAGUGCUUGUGUGCACACCCCAGAAGCCAAGGAAGCCAAAGUUCCCUGGAAACAAGCCUAACUACCAAAACAAAGGCAAUAACAGUAACAAUGCACUUUCAACAAACAGUGGCUCUGCGCUCCACACACUUCAUCCUCACUGACUCCCUGUGAAGCGGCUAUUACUUAGGAUUCUCCCUACUGCCCAGAGGACUAGCUGAAGACCCGAGAGGCCUCCAAGUCACUUCCCACAGACUGGCAUGGGAGCCCACUUUGAACAAAUGAAGAACAUGAUCUGGCUUCUCGUUUAAAAGGAAGACAGUUCAUGCUGCUGAGAAUAAACUCUAGGGGACAAAACAGAAGCAAGUGACUGGGCAAGAGACUACUGCAAUAAUUCAGGUUUCAGGACUUCCCUUACACACCACAUGAUCUAACACACUGUCGCGAGGAUCUUUUGAGGAACAGCCAGCUAGGUUAUGCCAGGCAAGAGUAAAAAUGACCCAAAAUUGCACCAUGGUUACGUCAGAAGUCUCAGACAACAGAAUAUCAUGCAGGCUACUAAACACAAGAGUUCUGAAUCUAUGAAGUAGCGAGGAGGCUUCCGGACUGCUCCCCCGCCCACCGGACAUCCUGGCUGAGCUCCCUCAUGGCACGUCUCACCUGGCCGCCCGACCAACUUCAGCACCUUCUGCUUGGAACCAGCUCCUCCUCCAGGAUCAGCCCUGCUGAUGACAGAAUCACCAUCCUCCCAGCCCCUGCCCCCUGGACUGCCCCAAGCUCAGAACCCCAGAGUUAACCGAGCUCUCUGGCAUCGCCACUGCAAACUGUCACAAAAUGCUGUACCCAGACUGUCCCGUCCCUCUUUGCCCACUAGCACUGACCCCUGGUCCCUGCCACAGCCUCCUAAAUGGCCUCUCUGCAAUUCUGUCAGGCACUGUUCUAGGCACAGCACAGAUAAUGCUCAUCUACUCCUCCCAGCAAGUCCUAUUUCACAGCUGUGGAAACUGAAGUGCCGGGAGACUCAGUUCCCUUAAGGUAAUACAGCUGGCAAGCAGAAGGCAGCAAAGCUGGGACUUCCAUCCAGGCACAGUCUGGCCCCUGAGUCCAUGCUCCUCGCCGCCCUGCUGCAGGCCUUUCUAGCCCCCAGUGCAGCUCGAAGGCCCCUUCUGGGACCGUCUGACCAGGCAGUGCCAGCUCUAGAAGUGUCCGUUUGGGACAGAUGUCCCUGUGAGAAAGCCCUGUAGUUGAGAUCUGGCUCUUCCCAGCCACUGACCCACUCUUGCUACUUGUGUGCCAGCCACCCAAGUUUCUGUGAGGACCCUGGGACACAGCACCCUCUCUCCCACCUCAGCCUCACCUCUGCCAUCCUUAAAAGGCAGUCCUCAUUUCUGUGCUUUCUCGUAGAAGCUUCUGGUCCCUCCUGGCACAGCACCUCUUCAGAGAGGCCUUCCCUAACCAGCCCAUGAGGAUUUUCCUCCUGGUUAUUCUCCAGCAUGGACCCUGCUCAUCACCUCUAUGGAGCCAUCCCAAUCAGUCUGUGAUCAUGCAUUUACUUAACCUACCUGUUAGUGGUUGCUCCCUCCACAACUGGAAACACCUCAAGAACAGAAGUGAAGUCUGGCUUUUGCUCACUCUCACAUCUCAGCUCCUAGCACUGUGCCUGGCAUACAGCAGGUGCUCAAUAAAUAGCUGAAUGCAUGAAUGGGUCUUCAUUGAAUGGGCUUCACGAAUUGAUUUUAGAAAUCAGAAUACAAGUUAGAUACAUGUAGCACAUGCUAUGGCUGCAACUAUGUGAAUGUUAGGUGCCCACAUGAACAGGCUGCAAGGAAACUGGACACUGAACACACCUGGUUGCCAGGUGUCUCUUUGGGGUGUAUGGAUAAUGGACAGAUUUCUCCCCUAUUGUGGUUGCUCAUGAUAUUUGGAAACAGGCAAGAAUCCUUUAAGGAGGCUCUGAGGUCAAUCCCAAGGAAUCUGUGGUUUCUCCUCAAAGCCUGCUUGUCCCUGUUCAGGAGGCACACUGGAGUGAGUGAGUCUCACAGCCUAGACGGGAUACAGCUCCCUUCCUCUGGCCAAAGCAGCCAGAGCUAUAUCUUUCUUACCCCUCAAAACAGUGCCAUCAUCCGAGCAAUGACCUGAAUGUCUCAGGACACUGUUCUCAGAGUGUUGCUUAAGCAGAAAAUGCCAGCCCCAUGGAGCCCAGCAGGAUGAGUUUCAGCUUGCGUAUUCAGCAGCUGCAGCAGGGAAGCAGCCAACUCCCACUCACUGGGCACCUACUAAGUGCCAAGCAUGGUGCUGUGAGCUUUACAUGUGAUCUCAUUUGAGCUCCUUGGAAAGUCUUUUAGAACCCUGUUUUGGUUUUGUUUUUAUUUUUUUGAAAGAGGGUCUCACUCUGUCCCCCAGGCUGGAGUGCAGUGGCAUGAUCAGGGUUCACUGCAGCCUCAACUUCCCGGGUUCAAGAGAUCCUCCCACCUCAGCCCCUCAAGUAUCUGGGACUACAGGUAUCUGCCACCACAACCGGCUAUUUUUUUGGAUUUUAGUAGAGACAAGGUCUCACUACGUUGCUCAGGCUGGUCUUGAACUCCUGAGCUCAAGUGAUCUUCCCACUUCAGACUCCCAAAGUGCUGAGAUUACAGGUGUGAGUCACCACAUCCAGCCCUAGAACCAUUUCAAAGGUAAGGCUACUGAGCCUCACAGGCAUGAAGACUCUGGGGAAGAUUACAAAGAUGAUUACUCCAAUGAUGCCAGUGGCUGCAAAAUCAAAUGUCAACAAGACCCGGGCGGCAGCACAUGGGUGAGCACAGGCCCUGUCUACAGGCCCCUGCACCCUGGCCUCCAUUCCAAAGCAGCAGCUGGGGCUGGGGAGGCACUCGGUUUGCAAAUGGUGGCAAUCAAUUCCAUUAAAAGGAACAAUACAAAGUCCUUCUCUGUUAGAGAGAGGUAUUUCUAGAUGUAAUAAUAUGAUGUCUUCCAUUUGCUUUAAUACACUGUGUGGGUGGGUGGCGUAUUUUAAAUAGACAGAUGAAAGGGCAGAUAAAAUAAAACUUAGCUAAAUGGUAAAAACUGUUGAAGCUGAGGGCUGGGUAUAUGGAGAUUCAUGAUGCUAUUUUCUCUAGAAAUCCACUGUUUUA